rnacentral:lncRNA from 1 species
AAAAUCAUUCGAUGCCCAGAAAUAUCUGAAGAGAGUUGGGUUAGGAAAAGAAGACUAUCACUUCUGGAAGCAAGUGGGCAAGGCGUUGCUUUGUACUUACACUUUGUUCGGCGUAGCGUGGUUAUGGAAUGAGACUUCGCCACUUAGUUGGUGGACCCUGAAGCCCAAGCCAAAGGAAGAUAAGCUAAACACCGUUGCUUUGUACUUACACUUUGUUCGGCGUAGCGUGGUUAUGGAAUGAGACUUCACCACUUGGUUGGUGGACCCUGAAGCCCAAGCCAAAGGAAGAAAAAGAACUAGCACACCUGUAUGAACGCCGGAAAUUUCCAUAUCCAGGCGAUGAGAAG